rnacentral:rRNA from 1 species
AUUGAACGCUGGCGGCAGGCCUAACACAUGCAAGUCGAGCGGAUGAAGGGAGCUUGCUCCUGGAUUCAGCGGCGGACGGGUGGGUAAUGCCUAGGAAUCUGCCUGGUAGUGGGGGAUAACGUCCGGAAACGGGCGCUAAUACCGCAUACGUCCUGAGGGAGAAAGUGGGGGAUCUUCGGACCUCACGCUAUCAGAUGAGCCUAGGUCGGAUUAGCUAGUUGGUGGGGUAAAGGCCUACCAAGGCGACGAUCCGUAACUGGUCUGAGAGGAUGAUCAGUCACACUGGAACUGAGACACGGUCCAGACUCCUACGGGAGGCAGCAGUGGGGAAUAUUGGACAAUGGGCGAAAGCCUGAUCCAGCCAUGCCGCGUGUGUGAAGAAGGUCUUCGGAUUGUAAAGCACUUUAAGUUGGGAGGAAGGGCAGUAAGUUAAUACCUUGCUGUUUAGACGUUACCAACAGAAUAAGCACCGGCUAACUUCGUG